AUAACUUAGCGAAAGUUAAGCUAAUACCGCAUACGCCCCAAGGGGGAAAGUGGGGGACCUAACGGCCUCACGUUAUCAGAGCGGCCUAUGUCUGAUUAGCUAGAUGGUGAGGUAAAGGCUCACCAUGGCGACGAUCAGUAGCGGGUCUGAGAGGAUGAUCCGCCACACUGGGACUGAGACACGGCCCAGACUCCUACGGGAGGCAGCAGUGGGGAAUUUUGGACAAUGGGCGCAAGCCUGAUCCAGCAAUGCCGCGUGCAGGAAGAAGGCCUUCGGGUUGUAAACUGCUUUUGUCAGGGAAGAAAUCCUCUAGGUUAAUACCCUUGGGGGGAUGACGGUACCUGAAGAAUAAGCACCGGCUA
rnacentral:rRNA from 1 species